rnacentral:rRNA from 1 species
GGUGCGUUGGGGGCGGGAGGGGGGUGAAGUACGAAGGGGGGUGUGGGGGGUAGGAAUUACUGGGCGUAAUGCGUACGGAGGCGUGUGUCUAAGUCGGGGGUGAAAUCCUGGAGCUCAACGCAAGAACUGCCUUCGGUACUGGGGAGCGCGAGUCCGGGAGAGGUGAGUGGAACUGCGAGGGUAGAGGGGAAAUUCGUAGAUAUUCGCAAGAACACCAGUGGCGAAGGCGGCUCACUGGCCCGGUACUGACGCUGAGGUGCGAAAGCGUGGGAGCAAACAGGAUUAGAUACCCUGGUAGUC